CUUAAAAAGCACAUUUUCCUUUUUGCAUAGAAAAUUUACUUUCUAAAUCUAUUUGCUCUGAAGGAAAUUCUCUCUUAAAAAGUAGAGGGAGAUAGUGUUUGUUGACUAUUUAUUAAUGUCAGGUGCUGUGGCAGGUGUUUCUCAUACAUUAUUUCACUCAGUCUUUGAGGGAGUAUUACAUAGUUCUUUUGUAAGUAACAUGCUCAAGGUCAGAGAGAUAACAAAUAGCAAAGCCUAUCUUCUGAUUUAACUGGAGGCAUAGGGCAUGCAUAAAGGCUAAUCAAAAGAUAUUGUAUUUGUGGUGAAUUGUCUGCAAAGACAGAUGGCAGCAAUAUCUAGGAUGUCCCUAUAGAGCAUAUGGCUCUUUCCAUAAAGCCAUGGGUCAAUUUUUUCUCCUCUUGAAUGAAUCCACAUCCUCUGGGAUGGCCUUGUGACCUCCUACGACCAGUAGAAUCUGGAGGAAGGGGCAAUGUGUGACUCCCCAGAAAUCCUCUUGGAAGCCAACAUCCACAUGAAGAAACUCAAGCUUGACUACUGAGUAUUGAGUGAAUACUUGGAACAAGGGAGUGGCCCAGCCAAUAACUGUCAUUCCUCACUCCAGCUGAGGUGUCACAUAUGUGAGUGGGCUCAUCUUGCACAUUCUGGCCCCAGUGAGAGCUCUCUGUGGAACACAGCUGCAGGAGUAACUGCAGCCACCUCCAUUUAAAGCAGAAAAACCAGCCCAGUGAACCCAGAAAACCCACAGAACUGUGAUACACAAUUUACAAGUGUUCUAGGCAGUUAGAUAUUUGGGUAAUUCAUUUUUCAGCAACAGAUAUCUUGAACAUAUCUUGGUACCUGGAAGUGAGGUGUCGCUAUAACAAAAACCUAAAAUAAGUGGCAUCAGUUUAGAGGCUGCGGACAAGUAGAUGCUGGAAGGGCAGUGAAGAGACGGUUCGUGUUGGCUGCAGGGACAGUGACAAGAUAGUAUUGGAGGCUGGAAAAAGGGAAACUCGUGUUAUGAACUGGGUCAACAAUCAGCAGUGUGUCACCUGUGAGCCAUGUGUGAUAAGCGAUUGUAAGAGAAAAAUAAGUGUAAUAAGCGAAAAAGUUAACUAUUCAAUUUUCAAGUAGAUUUUAGAGGAAAUAGAGAAGGCAGUCUUGAAGUGAGAAAUUGUGCCCAGGCAAAGAUAAAAUCAAAUUGGCCAUAAAACCUUUUUUUAACAACUAAGAAAGACUUAAGACAGGGUUUAAUGGAAGUUUAAAAGUGGACCAAGAAUGUAAAAAUCCUGAGUAUUGUGCAUGACAACCUGACAAGCACAAAGGAGAGCUCCAUCUCAAAAGGAAUAUAGAUGUGGUUUGUGGGACAUAGACGUAGUAAGUUCUGAUAAGAUUCAUACAACUGUGAAAGGUUUAAAGAAAGUUCUACCAGGAAAUUCACCACCAGGUUGAACUAAAAUAAGCAGAGUUGAAAAUGAAAGAGACCUCUGCCUCCCCAUCAUUCUAUGUCUAGGAUAUGGGAGAAGAAAGCUCAUUGACAGCCAACACGACCAUGACCAUUUCUUUUGAAGAAAGGAUGACCAAGAGGGCAAGUAGGCAUCAAGAAGGUAAAGCUGAAAUCCAUUUUACCCUCUUGGGAACCAGCUGGCCUUUAAGAAGCCUAGGCUGUAUUACAGAUUGAGGAGAAAGGAAGUUCAUGGAGCGGAAGGCCCAGGAUGCAGUCAUUCUGGCCCAUUCAGACAUCAGAAUGAAACCAUCUUACACAUUCCAGCCCCAGGUGAAUUCCCAGCUGAAUGCAACCUCAAGAGUGACACCAGCCAAUAUCACAGAACGGAAGGACCACCCUUUCAACAUAGCCAACUCACUGAAUCUCGAAGGCAAUUGAACAGGACCCAUUCCUGUCACAGAAAUUGAAGCGACAUGUUGAGCGUCGGGUAUCCUGGCAAGUCCUUCUGGCCAAUCUGCUCCAACUCUGCUCCAGGCAUCUACAGUGGGGUGUCAUUAUAAUCUCUCCAGCUUGGAAUUUGAUUAAGGGUUAUUACAUCUCUAAAUCUAUUUCCUAGACCUUUUCCUGAGUUUAGUGAGGAGGAUUUUAAGGAGACCAAGUUCAGCACUCUGGGACUUGUGCUGAUCAUCUGUCUUUAGGCUGAGCCUCAGAAUACAGUGUUUUGCUUCAUUCUGAGAGCAAGACAUCACCUGUCUCCCAGCUUGGAGACCAGAUUCUCUCUUGAUACACGGAAAUCUACUCUGAGGAUCUGGAAUUCCCUUAAUUACAAGACCCACAGAAGAUAGAGGACAUCACAAAAGAGAUAUCCAAAUGUUUCCUAACGAUGACAACUGCACUUAUUUUCCAUGUUUUUUAACUUUGUUCCUCCACACCUGAUAUGGUGACAGACAAAAACCUAACUACUUUCAAUCUAUAUGAAGUAACAUAGGUUAAUUUAACAGACUGUUAUGUUUUCUAAGCAAUUACCAUUUAUGCGGACAAUUGUUUGUAAUAGAAAUUGUGGAAGAAUGUAUGUGCAUACACAUAUAUACAUAUUUAUUCACACACAUAAAAUAUGUAGUUAUACUUUUAACACAAAUUUAUAAUUCCAUAUUUUUAAUAUAAAGUCUGAUUCCUGAAGACUUAUUUGCAAAAUCACGACUCAAUACAAAUUAAUAGAAUAAAUACCUAUUCUCUUUCCCCUCGGUGUAUUUUUCAAGUUGAUUUAUGUUUCCACUUCAGACCAUGGAAGAUAGUUCUUUAGAUUGCAAUUAGGGUGCAUGUUAUCUAUAAUUCUUUCCUAUUUCCAAUGUGUUCUUUGGUAGUAGAUGUACAGAAGAAUUAAAUAGCAUUUUAAGCCUAAAGUGUCAUUUUUUUGUAUUUCCAUGGCAACUGACAUCAACACAACAAAACCACUUUUUCCAUGACAAUUUUGUCUGCCUGUGUAAGUGGUUUAAAAUAAUAUUUAUCUUAUCAAUACAUAUUGUUUAAAAAUAUUGCUAUAAACCUUUAUAAUAACUAUAUAAUGUUUAUUCAAUACUUCAAAAAUAUUUGAGCUUUUCUUAAAAUUCUCAGUGUUACUGACUGAUACAGGGGAAACCAAAUACAGUCACCCCUCGGAAUCCAUGUGGGAUUGGUUCCAGGGACAUUCUCCCUCCCUGCCACCCCAGUGCCAAAAUCCCCGGAUGCUUGUGUCUUAGCUCUCCAUACCGCAAAUCCCUGGGAUGGCGGAAUCCUCGGCUGUGGAACCUGAGGGUACAGGAGGGGUGCAGGCGAUUGUACUUAUAAAUGUCUACUGUAGAAAACAUGUAUCAUAUGCUUGUAACUAUUAUUCUGAUACCUUUAUUCAAAUAUAAUUAGCCCAAUUUCUACAUAAUUCAAAAGUAUAAAAUUAGUUAUGUUUAUUCAUCUUGAAUCAAAAAACCUACUCACUCAUUUUCCCUCCACAGAAAAGUUGAUCUGUUUGUUGCAUCAACUGAUAAUUUUUGCCAACAUAAAUUUUAGUCUUGUAUCUGUAGUUAUUAAGUCAAAAUGCAUCAAAUUACAAAUAAAAUUUUAAAUAUAUCUAAUUGUGUGGUUUAUAUUUAUCAUCUGAUUUUUCUUUUCUUUUU